CGCAUAUCUCCACUGUCAGGUGCCUGCGAAAGCGGGAGAAUCGGGAAUCCGGUGAAAAUCCGGGACGUGCCCAACGCUGUAACGGGGACGAUCUUGCAAGGGAACCUUGAAUGUUUGCAGGUUUCUGCCACUGAAUCCUCAACGGAUUUGGGAAGGGUGCAAAGUCGGGUGAUCCGCAGUCAGAAGACCGGCCUGACGAGAUAGACCAAA
rnacentral:ncRNA from 2 species